rnacentral:rRNA from 1 species
CGGGUGAGUCAUACAUCGGAACGUGUCCUGUAGUGGGGGAUAGCCCGGCGAAAGCCGGAUUAAUACCGCAUACGAUCUACGGAUGAAAGCGGGGGAUCGCAAGACCUCGCGCUAUAGGGGCGGCCGAUGGCGGAUUAGCUAGUUGGUGGGGUAAAGGCCCACCAAGGCGACGAUCCGUAGCUGGUCUGAGAGGACGACCAGCCACACUGGGACUGAGACACGGCCCAGACUCCUACGGGAGGCAGCAGUGGGGAAUUUUGGACAAUGGGCGCAAGCCUGAUCCAGCAAUGCCGCGUGUGUGAAGAAGGCCUUCGGGUUGUAAAGCACUUUUGUCCGGAAAGAAAUCCUCUGGGUUAAUACCCCGGGGGGAUGACGGUACCGGAAGAAUAAGCACCGGCUAACUACGUGCCAGCAGCCGCGGUAAUACGUAGGGUGCGAGCGUUAAUCGGAAUUACUGGGCGUAAAGCGUGCGCAGGCGGUGAUGUAAGACCGAUGUGAAAUCCCCGGGCUUAACCUGGGAACUGCAUUGGUGACUGCAUCGCUGGAGUAUGGCAGAGGGGGGUAGAAUCCACGUGUAGCAGUGAAAUGCGUAGAGAUGUGGAGGAAUACCGAUGGCGAAGGCAGCCCCCUGGGCCAAUACUGACGCUCAUGCACGAAAGC